rnacentral:lncRNA from 1 species
ACAUCCUCCUCCCCUUAUAAGAAUUCGUCCCCGAAUUCUCUAGGGUUUCGAUGGAUCCCCCUCUUCCAUCACUACAUCUUCAUGGAAGAACUCUGGAUGCGAUGCUUUGAAUCUCGACUCAUCCUCCCAGGUCACGACCACACGGUUUCGCUUACCCCAGAAGACUUGGACUUGAGGAAUCUCUCGGUUCUUUAGUUUCCGUAUUCGACGUUCACCUACUCGGAUCGGCCCCUCUGGAUAAGUGAGGUUUGUUUGCAGGUUUUCGAUUUGCUCCAUCUCAAUAGCUUUGGGAUCAUGAACAUGUUUCCGUAGCAU